GGUUCUGCGUGGAAGGGCCAUCGCUCAACGGAUAAAAGCUACCCUGGGGAUAACAGGCUUAUCUCCCCCAAGAGUCCACAUCGACGGGGAGGUUUGGCACCUCGAUGUCGGCUCAUCACAUCCUGGGGCUGUAGUAGGUCCCAAGGGUUGGGCUGUUCGCCCAUUAAAGUGGUACGCGAGCUGGGUUCAGAACGUCGUGAGACAGUUCGGUCCCUAUCCGUCGCAGGCGUAGGAAAUUUGAGAAGACCUGUCCUUAGUACGAGAGGACCGGGAUGGACGUACCUCUGGUGUACCAGUUGUUCUGCCAAGGGCAUGGCUGGGUAGCUAUGUACGGAAUGGAUAAGCGCUGAAAGCAUCUAAGCGCGAAGCCAACUUCAAGAUAAGAUUUCCCACCGCAAGGGUAAGACCCCAGAAAGACUAUCUGGUUGAUAGGUCGAAGGUGUAAGUGCAGCAAUGUAUUUAGCUUAUCGAUACUAAUAGGUCGAGGACUUGACCAAAUU
rnacentral:rRNA from 1 species